rnacentral:rRNA from 1 species
UACCAGACUCCUACGGGAGGCAGCAGUGGGGAAUAUUGCACAAUGGGGGAAACCCUGAUGCAGCGACGCCGCGUGAGCGAUGAAGUAUUUCGGUAUGUAAAGCUCUAUCAGCAGGGAAGAAGAUGACGGUACCUGACUAAGAAGCCCCGGCUAACUACGUGCCAGCAGCCGCGGUAAUACGUAGGGGGCAAGCGUUAUCCGGAUUCACUGGGUGUAAAGGGAGCGUAGACGGCCAGGCAAGCCUGGAGUGAAAGCCCGGGGCCCAACCCCGGGACUGCUCUGGGAACUGUCCGGCUGGAGUGCGGGAGGGGCAGGCGGAAUUCCUGGUGUAGCGGUGAAAUGCGUAGAUAUCAGGAGGAACACCGGCGGCGAAGGCGGCCUGCUGGACCGCGACUGACGUUGAGGCUCGAAAGCGUGGGGAGCAAACAGGAUUAGAUACCCCCGUA